UCCGUAGGUGAACCUGCGGAAGGAUCAUUACCUAGAGUUGUAGGCUUUGCCUGCUAUCUCUUACCCAUGUCUUUUAAGUACCUUACGUUUCCUCGGCGGGUCCGCCCGCCGAUUGGACAAUUUAAACCAUUUGCAGUUGCAAUCAGCGUCUGAAAAAACUUAAUAGUUACAACUUUCAACAACGGAUCUCUUGGUUCUGGCAUCGAUGAAGAACGCAGCGAAAUGCGAUAAGUAGUGUGAAUUGCAGAAUUCAGUGAAUCAUCGAAUCUUUGAACGCACAUUGCGCCCCUUGGUAUUCCAUGGGGCAUGCCUGUUCGAGCGUCAUUUGUACCUUCAAGCUCUGCUUGGUGUUGGGUGUUUGUCUCGCCUCUGCGUGUAGACUCGCCUCAAAACAAUUGGCAGCCGGCGUAUUGAUUUCGGAGCGCAGUACAUCUCGCGCUUUGCACUCAUAACGACGACGUCCAAAAGUACAUUUUUACACUCUUGACCUCGGAUCAGGUAGGGAUACCCGCUGAACUUAAGCAUAUCAAUAAGCGGAGGAA
rnacentral:rRNA from 1 species